rnacentral:rRNA from 1 species
AUGAGCAUGACAGCGGCGACACGGCCACCGCUCACCUUGCGGUCAGCAAGGAUCUUGAGCCCGCUCCGGAGACCAUCCAUGAUCUUGGUGUAGUCGCCGCAGGGCUUUAGGCUGUUGAUCAGCAUCUGCAACUCCCGCUGCGAGGCCUUGGUGAUCUGUUGCAGCGGGCAGAGCUUCGUGGCGGCGUUGGAGAAUGUGACGAUGGAGAGUUGGUCCAUAAGGCUGAGUUUCGACACCAAAAACCGCAUGGCGGUCUUCAGCUGGUUCAUCUUCUUGCCGUGCAUGCUGCCGCUGACGUCCACCACGACCACCAGAUCCAGACCUGGCCGGUCACCGCUGAAGGCGGUGCCGGUGAGCUCCAGCAUCACCUUUUUGUUAUGCUCCUUUAAAGGAGCCUAUCUGUUGUUCUCGAUUGCCAACUGCACUUUCCCUGUAUGCCGCAAUUUGCAAAUCAACAUGGAAAAUUGUCCUAAAUAUAUGCCGCAAUUGCAAAUCAACAAGGGAAAUUGUCCUAAAUAUAUUGGUUCAUUAUUCAUUUGGUAA